UACGGAAGGCAGCAGGGGGGAAUAUUGCACAAUGGGCGCAAGCCUGAUGCAGCCAUGCCGCGUGUAUGAAGAAGGCCUUCGGGUUGUAAAGUACUUUCAGUCGUGAGGAAGGUGUUAAGGUUAAUAACCUUAGCAAUUGACGUUAGCGACAGAAGAAGCACCGGCUAACUCCGUGCCAGCAGCCGCGGUAAUACGGAGGGUGCGAGCGUUAAUCGGAAUUACUGGGCGUAAAGGGCACGCAGGCGGUUAAUUAAGUUGGAUGUGAAAUCCCCGGGCUUAACCUGGGAAUGGCAUUCAAGACUGGUUAGCUAGAGUCUUGUAGAGGGGGUAGAAUUCCGAUGUGUAGCGGUGAAAUGCGUAGAGAUGUGGAGGAAUACCGGUGGCGAAGGCGGCCCCUGGACAAAGACUGACGCUCAUGUGCGAAAGCGUGGGGAGCAAACAGGGAUUAGAUACC
rnacentral:rRNA from 1 species